GACUUUCUUCUAUUACCUGAAAAAAAAAAAGGUAGGCAGGGGUGAGCACCAAACUCAAUGAGUAGGGUUAGAUAACCCUCUCACCCCACACAAUCACACAGAUGCUAAAAUAUUUUUAUCUGAUCACCGAUUUAGUAUAUGAUCAUGCAGUUUAUCACACAAAUGGCAAUACAACAGCAAUCACAAUUAUUAUCACCUUCAUAUAAUCACAUCACGUGGAAAUUAGUCAGUGGAGUCACCGAAACCCCCGAUGAGCCGUCCUCCCACAUGGCCCAUNNN
rnacentral:lncRNA from 1 species